AUAGGGGAAAAAUCCCCCCCAAACUUAACUCCCAACCAAUGUGGGACUUUAGCAUUUUGCCAAACUUCAACUGGUAAAGCAAAUUUUCAGACCAGGAAAUUGAAGUAUUUUAUCUAUAUUUUCUGGACCAAAUAUGUACAGCUUUUGGGAUUCUUGUUUUUUGGCUUUAAAGAAAAAUGACUUACUAGCAAUGGGAUGAAAUAGGUCUGAAUAGAGUGAAUAGAUAUAGAAGAUUCAUAUACUCUACCUUAGCUAGUUUGGGUCUAAGGCAUUGUUGUUGUUUUUGUUGUGUUCUUUGUUUGGAGGGUUCCUUUUUCUUUUUGGGCCCCUUUUUUCUUUUGUUUUGAUGAUUGCUCUGUCUGGACCAGCUUACGCACACCUCGAUGAUUACACUUACACUUGGUACCUGGCUACUUGCUAACUCCCACUAGCAUACUGGGUAACUCUACCCACAAAGGCUUAGGCAGAUGAGCACAAAGCACCUAGUCUUUUUCGCCUAUGCUUGGAUUUGAACUUGAGAUAUAAUUGCUCUCUUCCCACUUCAUUGGCCUCGAGGCCACACCUUGGGAGACAGUAAAAGAAGACUUUCCUUUUCUUCAAAAAAAUAGAACUUUUAUUUACACUGUGUUUUUUGGGUUUCCUGUUGCAUGAACUCUUACCUUUGUAAAUAGGGAUUGUUGUUUCUCUAGCUCUUUAUUAUUACUGCUCUGAAUUCCUUUCGUUCACUCUGCACUUUAUCAAGCUUAACUUAUGUGAUCUCAUGUUAAUCAGUAGUAGAGUCCUUUUUUGGCUAGAAUAAAAGGCUAACCAGGCUGUUGGAUUUAUAUAAUAGUAGAAAUUAGAAAGAAAACAAACCUGGUUAUUUUCUCAUGUUUUAUUGCUGAAUUUUGAUGUUUCUAUAUUCUUGCUGAUUCUUGUGUUUAUCAAAUAUUAGCAAAGUGAAGCUUCCUAAUUCGUUUUCCUUGUCUUUUUCCUUUUCUCUUUUGCUCUUUUGCAGUCAGCCAAUGGAAUAGGAUGCCCCUCAACUGGGAUGAUGGUUAUAGCAUAUGAACUUCAGUGCCUUUCUACAGCAUCAGGUGCAUUAAAAAAUGAAGUGAACCGGGUUUGAUUUGGAGCGAAACUUGUGAAGCAGCUAGGAGUUGGACCGACUUGUAUAACUUUUCGUAUUCGGGAAUUUACCUUGGUAGAACGACUUGAUUAGUGGAGGAUGCUGUAAGACUUGAAAUAGGAUUUUGCUGUUCUGCUACGUACUGUUAUCUACUUCAGGGACCUUGUAAACAUUGGAGUUUAAAGUGGUUUGUCUUGUAUGUUGAAUGUUAUGAUCGGCUAAUGUGUAGGGUACCUACCUUUCAUAACUCCA